GUCUUUCACAUUCAACUUGGCCAUGGUUUCAGCUUGAGACCUUGGACUGCUCUUCAAUUUUUCUUUUAGGACUAACACAUGGGUGAGUGAAAAGGGCUAACUCACUUUCCUGGCUUUUCUGGAGGUACUAGCCUCUGGAGAGGCCCCUUGUCUUGGGAGAGGCCUCAUGGCUAGAACCUUUGCUUAAAUUACCCCUGGAUCCUUUUGCUUGAGCCUCUGAAGCCCUGCCUGGUUUGGAACCGGCCAGAGUAAGUAUCUAUUCUCUCUUAGUUUGUUACUUUUACUCUUUCCCUCUAUUUUAUAAACAAAUUGCUAUAAAGUCAUUCUGAAUUGAGUAAUAAUUUUGAAGACCAUAGUCUUAUCUAACAUGUUUUUGUUUGUUUUUAACUCUUAUAAGCCAGAAAGAAAAAAAAAAGAAGACUGUGAAGCAACAAUCAGGAUAAAGGAGGACUUAUCAGCUUCCACACUAAAUGAUCAAAAGUCUACAGGCCAAUGAUCAUAGACUAUAACCCUGUAGCAAAGGACUUGACCUCAACAUUGCAAAGGAAGAAGUAGUGGCCUCUUAUGAAUGAAUAAUACCAGGUGGAUUACUAUCUAUUUAACAUCAAGGAAUGCAGUAUACAGGAUGAAGAGAAUCAGCUCCAGUGAAUUUCAGAAUGUCUCACUGCAAGUUAAUAUUGAGAAGGGAUGAUCCUACUACUCUAGUUAAAACCUUAACAUCCUCACUUGGGUGUGUAGGCUCAUUACUUUCUAGUCACUCAUUCUAGAAACAUUUCAAAGAGAAAGUAUUGGAGGUUAGGA
rnacentral:lncRNA from 1 species